CCCUACGGGGNUCAGCAGGCGCGAAAACUUUACAAUGCUGGAAACAGCGAUAGGGGACUCGAGUGCAGGUUAAAAUCUGGCUGUCGUGAUGCCUAAAAAGCAUUGCAUAGCAAGGGCCGGGCAAGACCGGUGCCAGCCGCCGCGGUAACACCGGCGGCUCGAGUGGAAACCGUUAUUAUUGGGUCUAAAGGGUCUGUAGCCGGCCGGAUAAGUCUCUUGGGAAAUCCAGCAGCUCAACUGUUGGGCUUUCAGGAGAUACUGUCUGGCUCGAGGCCGGGAGAGGUGAGAGGUACUUCAGGGGUAGGGGU
rnacentral:rRNA from 1 species